AAUGCAGUGGUGUAGUGGUUUGAGCAUCGGACUGUGACUCUGGAGAUCAGGGUUCGAUUCCCCCCUUGGCCAUA
rnacentral:tRNA from 1 species